rnacentral:rRNA from 1 species
CAAUAGCGUAUAUUAAAGUUGUUGCGGUAAAAAAGCUCGUAGUUGGAUUUCUACCGAAGAUAGCCGGUCGGGUCUUCGACCUUGUAUCUGGUUUUGUCUUUGGUAUCCUCAUAGGGAACGUUUCUGCGCUUUAUUGCGUGGUGCGGUAUCUAUGACUUUUACUUUGAGGAAAUUAGAGUGUUCACGGCAGGCAAACGCCUUGAAUAUAUUAGCAUGGAAUAAUAACAUAGGGUCUUCGUCCUAUUUUGUUGGUUUCUAGGGCUAAGAUAAUGAUUAAUAGGGAUAAUUGGGGGCAUCUGUAUCAACGCGUCAGAGGUGGAAUUCUUGGAUUGCGUUGCGACAAACUACUGCGAAAGCAUUUGCCAAGGAUGUUUUCAUUGA